GACGAACGCUGGCGGCGUGCUUAACACAUGCAAGUCGAACGGAAAGGCCCUGCUUUUGUGGGGUGCUCGAGUGGCGAACGGGUGAGUAACACGUGAGUAACCUGUCCUUGACUUUGGGAUAACUUCAGGAAACUGGGGCUAAUACCGGAUAGGAGCUCCUGCUGCAUGGUGGGGGUUGGAAAGUUUCGGCGGUUGGGGAUGGACUCGCGGCUUAUCAGCUUGUUGGUGGGGUAGCGGCUUACCAAGGCUUUGACGGGUAGCCGGCCUGAGAGGGUGACCGGCCACAUUGGGACUGAGAUACGGCCCAGACUCCUACGGGAGGCAGCAGUGGGGAAUAUUGCACAAUGGGCGGAAGCCUGAUGCAGCAACGCCGCGUGCGGGAUGACGGCCUUCGGGUUGUAAACCGCUUUCGCCUGUGACGAAGCGUGAGUGACGGUAAUGGGUAAAGAAGCACCGGCUAACUACGUG
rnacentral:rRNA from 1 species